GAUGAACGCUGGCGGCGUGCCUAAUACAUGCAAGUCGAGCGAACAGACGAGGAGCUUGCUCCUCUGACGUUAGCGGCGGACGGGUGAGUAACACGUGGAUAACCUACCUAUAAGACUGGGAUAACUUCGGGAAACCGGAGCUAAUACCGGAUAAUAUAUUGAACCGCAUGGUUCAAUAGUGAAAGACGGUUUUGCUGUCACUUAUAGAUGGAUCCGCGCCGCAUUAGCUAGUUGGUAAGGUAACGGCUUACCGAGGCAACGAUGCGUAGCCGACCUGAGAGGGUGAUCGGCCACACUGGAACUGAGACACGGUCCAGACUCCUACGGGAGGCAGCAGUAGGGAAUCUUCCGCAAUGGGCGAAAGCCUGACGGAGCAACGCCGCGUGAGUGAUGAAGGUCUUCGGAUCGUAAAACUCUGUUAUUAGGGAAGAACAAAUGUGUAAGUAACUAUGCACGUCUUGACGAUACCUAAUCAGAAAGCCACGGCUAACUACGUG
rnacentral:rRNA from 1 species